rnacentral:misc_RNA from 1 species
GAUGAAUAACGCAGCGAAAUGCGAUAAGUAAUGUGAAUUGCAGACACCGUGAAUCAUCGAAUCUUUGAACGCACAUUGCGCCCUUUGGUAUUCCGAAGGGCAUGCCUGUUCGAGCGUCAUUACACUAUUCUUCGGAGUAUUGACAGUGGCUUACGCCUUGUCUAAAACCCUUGGUGGUAACUAUCAAUCACGCAUAGUAAUCUCUGCGAAGGUGGAUAGGUAAACACUGAAAACUUCUUGUUUGACCUCGGAUCAGGUAGGGAUACCCGCUGAACUUAAGCAUAUCAAUAAGCGGAGGA